rnacentral:rRNA from 1 species
AGUGAACGCUGGCGGCAGGCCUAACACAUGCAAGUCGAGCGGCGGCGGACGGGUGAGUAAUGUCUGGGAAACUGCCUGAUGGAGGGGGAUAACUACUGGAAACGGUAGCUAAUACCGCAUACCAUCGGAUGUUCCCAGAUGGGAUUAGCUAGUAGGUGGGGUAAAGGCUCACCUAGGCGACGAUCCCUAGCUGGUCUGAGAGGAUGACCAGACACACUGGAAGUGAGACACGGUCCAGACUCCUACGGGAGGCAGCAGUGGGGAAUAUUGCACAAUGGGCGCAAGCCUGAUGCAGCCAUGCCGCGGGUAUGAAGAAGGCCUUCGGGGUGUAAAGUACUUUCAGCGGGGAGGCGUUACCCGCAGAAGAAGCACCGGCUAACUCCGUGCCAGCAGCCGCGGUAAUUC